GGUGAAGUGUCCGAGUGGCUGAAGGAGCACGCCUGGAAAGUGUGUAUACGUUAACAGCGUAUCGAGGGUUCGAAUCCCUCCUUCACCGCCA
rnacentral:tRNA from 1 species